UACAGAGGUCUCAAGCGUUGUUCGGAUUCAUUGGGCGUAAAGGGUGCGUAGGCGGUGGGGCAAGUUAGGUGUGAAAUCCCGGAGCUCAACUCCGGAACUGCACUUGAUACUGCUUUACUAGAGUACUGGAGAGGAGACUGGAAUUUACGGUGUAGCAGUGAAAUGCGUAGAUAUCGUAAGGAAGACCAGUGGCGAAGGCGAGUCUCUGGACAGUUACUGACGCUGAGGCACGAAGGCCAGGGGAGCAAACGGG
rnacentral:rRNA from 1 species